rnacentral:rRNA from 1 species
GUGGCGAACGGGUGAGUAACACGUGAGUAACCUGCCCUGGACUCUGGGAUAAGCGUUGGAAACGACGUCUAAUACCGGAUAGGACCUCGGACCGCAUGGUUUGGGGUGGAAAGUUUUUUCGGUCUGGGAUGGACUCGCGGCCUAUCAGCUUGUUGGUGAGGUAAUGGCUCACCAAGGCGUCGACGGGUAGCCGGCCUGAGAGGGUGACCGGCCACACUGGGACUGAGACACGGCCCAGACUCCUACGGGAGGCAGCAGUGGGGAAUAUUGCACAAUGGGCGCAAGCCUGAUGCAGCAACGCCGCGUGCGGGAUGACGGCCUUCGGGUUGUAAACCGCUUUUAGUAGGGAAGAAGGGCUUCGGCUUGACGGUACCUGCAGAAAAAGGACCGGCUAACUACGUGCCAGCAGCCGCGGUAAUACGUAGGGUCCGAGCGUUGUCCGGAAUUAUUGGGCGUAAAGAGCUCGUAGGCGGUUUGUCGCGUCUGCUGUGAAAUCUGGAGGCUCAACCUCCAGCCUGCAGUGGGUACGGGCAGACUAGAGUGCGGUAGGGGAGAAUGGAAUUCCUGGUGUAGCGGUGGAAUGCGCAGAUAUCAGGAGGAACACCGAUGGCGAAGGCAGUUCUCUGGGCCGUAACUGACGCUGAGGAGCGAAAGCGUGGGGAGCGAACAGGAUUAGAUACCCUGGUAGUCCACGCCGUAAACGUUGGGCGCUAGAUGUGGGGACCUUUCCACGGUUUCCGUGUCGUAGCUAACGCA